rnacentral:rRNA from 1 species
AUGUAUCCACUUUGUUUUGGAAUUUUUGAUUCCGAAACAAAUGAGAACUGGAUCUGGUUCAUGCAAUUGCUUAGGCAAUCCAUAGGAUCGCCAAGGGGUUUAGCCAUAAGCACUGAUGCUGGGCAGGCGGUGAUGACAGGGGUAAAGGAAGUUUUCCCAGAGGUAGAACAUAGGGAAUGCAUGUUCCACUUGGUGUCAAACUUCAAGAAAAAGUAUCACGGAAAGGUAUUUGAUGACCAUCUUUGGGUUGUUGCUUACUCAUGGAACAAGUAUAUAUUUGACAAAAAUUGGGUUGCAAUGGAGACAGCAAAGCCAGCGGCAACUACAUAUCUUAGGAAGUGGCACACUAGGUUGUGGACUAGGAGUCAGUUCUCAACCAUUUGUAAGGUGGACUGUGUAACCAAUAACCUGGCAGAGUGCUUCAAUAAAUGGAUUAAGCACCACAAGUCCUUGAACUUGGAUGACUUAAUGGACAAGCUUAGGCAGAUGAUUAUGAUCAUGUGGAAUCGAAGGAGAAAAGUAGCAAAGAAGUUAGCUGGCUUAUUAAUUUUGCCCCUCAUAAUGAAGAAGUUGAAUGCAAAGAGUAGAGAGUUAAACUUGGAGGUGGUAGAAAGCUCAGAAGAAGUUGCUGAAGUUACUCAAUUGGGAGGCAGUGGGUCUUUGUCGUCAACUUGCAUGACAACACAUGUUCUUGUAGACAAUGGCAAGUUUCCGGCCUUCCUUGCAAGCAUGCUCUAG